rnacentral:tmRNA from 1 species
GGGGGCGAACUGGGUUCGACCGGACUAGUGAACAGUAGGUUGCAUGUCGUUGUUGGUCAGCGGGCAACGUAAAAAGCCGACUACUAAAUUCAAAUGCCGAACCUAAAUUGGCAUUGGCUGCCUAAGAAACCGCAGCCCCGAAUCCAGACUGCCGCCGAAGCGGUUUGAUAUUCGGACGACCUUUCGGAUCGUUUUCGUCCAUGCUUGCUACGGCGAAAAUUAAAUUUGUUGUAAGACCGCGCUUGAAAGACCGCCGCCGAUAAGGGCUUGAGAGGGCUAAACUUCAAAAAAUCGGAUAAACAUGUAGACGCUUAUUCGGAUCGGUAUCGGGACGCGGGUUCAAUUCCCGCCGCCUCCAGUC